UGGGGAAUAUUGCACAAUGGGCGCAAGCCUGAUGCAGCCAUGCCGCGUGUGUGAAGAAGGCCUUCGGGUUGUAAAGCACUUUCAGCGAGGAGGAAGGGUAGAGUGUUAAUAGCACAUUGCAUUGACGUUACUCGCAGAAGAAGCACCGGCUAACUCCGUGCCAGCAGCCGCGGUAAUACGGAGGGUGCAAGCGUUAAUGGGAGUUACUGGGCGUAAAGCGCACGCAGGCGGUUUGUUAAGUCAGAUGUGAAAUCCCCGCGCUUAACGUGGGAACUGCAUUUGAAACUGGCAAGCUAGAGUCUUGUAGAGGGGGGUAGAAUUCCAGGUGUAGCGGUGAAAUGCGUAGAGAUCUGGAGGAAUACCGGUGGCGAAGGCGGCCCCCUGGACAAAGACUGACGCUCAGGUGCGAAAGCGUGGGGAGCAAACA
rnacentral:rRNA from 1 species